UAUGGGUUAUUUAUUUGGAUUUUCUUUUUUGUGUAGCACCUUGAGAUGUGUGGAUUGUAGGUGGUCUACAAAUGAACACCAUCACCAUCAGAAGCAACCAUAAAGUGUGGUUGCCAAAGCAUAGCUACUUUGUUGAAGCUGUAGCAGAAUAUGUGGGCCCAUUGCUAGGCAACAGGCUUUUGAGUUUCACAUUGAACCAAAUCAUUUGAAUACAUAUAGUAAACUCAACUGAGGAAAUUUGAGUAUUUAUGUCACGAUUGCCUGAAAGCAGACCCACAAGACUACAAAGCCCACAAUGCAAUGUGAUUGCAAGCCAAAUGUCCAUUUGAAGAAGAAUAAGACAAUGAAGAAGAAGAAGAAGCAUCUAUUCUAUGAAGCAAGUAGUUGAACAUAUUAAAGGAUGGCCGCGAAACUAACUCAAGGAUCAAUAGUCAGAUAUAUUUUCCACUGAGGUCUAUUCUUCAGGACCAGAAAAAUGGAACUGAAAAUAAACUGUGCUCCCAGGCUUCA